rnacentral:rRNA from 1 species
AGCUAGAGUAUGGGAGAGGAUGGUAGAAUUCCAGGUGUAGCGGUGAAAUGCGUAGAGAUCUGGAGGAAUACCGAUGGCGAAGGCAGCCAUCUGGCCUAAUACUGACACUGAGGUGCGAAAGCAUGGGGAGCAAACAGGAUUAGAUACCCUGGUAGUCCAUGCCGUAAACGAUGUCUACUAGCCGUUGGGGGAUUUGAUCCUUUAGUGGCGCAGCUAACGCGAUAAGUAGACCGCCUGGGGAGUACGGUCGCAAGACUAAAACUCAAAUGAAUUGACGGGGGCCCGCACAAGCGGUGGAGCAUGUGGUUUAAUUCGAUGCAACGCGAAGAACCUUACCUGGCCUUGACAUAGUAGAAACUUUCCAGAGAUGGAUUGGUGCCUUCGGGAAUCUACAUACAGGUGCUGCAUGGCUGUCGUCAGCUCGUGUCGUGAGAUGUUGGGUUAAGUCCCGCAACGAGCGCAACCCUUUUCCUUACUUGCCAGCAUUUCGGAUGGGAACUCUAAGGAUACUGCCAGUGACAAACUGGAGGAAGGCGGGGACGACGUCAAGUCAUCAUGGCCCUUACGACCAGGGCUACACACGUGCUACAAUGGUAGGUACAGAGGGCAGCUACACAGCGAUGUGAUGCUAAUCUCAAAAAGCCGAUCGUAGUCCGGAUCGCAGUCUGCAACUCGACUGCGUGAAGUCGGAAUCGCUAGUAAUCGCGGAUCAGAAUGCCGCGGUGAAUACGUUCCCGGGCCUUGUACACACCGCCCGUCACACCAUGGGAGUUGAUUGCACCAGAAGUGGGUAGCCUAACCGCAAGGAGGACGCUUACCAGGUGUGGCCGAUGACUGGGGUGAAGUCGUAACAAGGUAGCCGUAGGGGAACCUGCGGCUG